rnacentral:rRNA from 1 species
UACGAAGGGGGCUAGCGUUGCUCGGAAUCACUGGGCGUAAAGCGCACGUAGGCGGCUUUCUAAGUCAGGGGUGAAAUCCUGGAGCUCAACUCCAGAACUGCCUUUGAUACUGGAGAGCUUGAGUCCGGAAGAGGUGGGUGGAACUCCGAGUGUAGAGGUGAAAUUCGUAGAUAUUCGGAAGAACACCAGUGGCGAAGGCGGCUCACUGGUCCGGUACUGACGCUGAGGUGCGAAAGCGUGGGGAGCAAACGGG